AUUGAACGCUGGCGGCAGGCCUAACACAUGCAAGUCGAGCGAGCGACGGACGGGUGAGGACUGUCUGGGAACCUGCCUGUUGGAGGGGGAUAACUACAGGAAACGCUAGCUCAUCCCGCAUACCAUCAAGUGUGCCCCGAUGGGAUUAGCUGGUAGGUGGGGUAACGGCCCACCUAGGCGACGAUCCCUAGCUGGUCUGAGAGGAUGACCAGCCACACUGGAACUGAGACACGGUCCAGACUCCUACGGGAGGCAGCAGUGGGGAAUAUUGCACAAUGGGCGCAAGCCUGAUGCAGCCAUGCCGCGUGUGUGAAGAAGGCCUUCGGGUUGUAAAGCACUUUCAGCGGGGAGGCGUUACCCGCAGAAGAAGCACCGGCUAACUCCGUGCCAGCAGCCGCGGUAAUAC
rnacentral:rRNA from 1 species